GACCUUCGGGAGCCUAUACAGGUGUUGCAUGGCUGUCGUCAGCUCGUGUCGUGAGAUGUUCGGUUAAGUCCGCUAACGAGCGCAACCUCGUCGUAUGUUAUAUGUGUCAUACGAGACUGCCGGUAAAAAGCCGGAGGAAGGUGAGGAUGAUGUCAAGUCAGCAUGACCUUUAUAUUCAGGGCUACACGCACGCUACAAUGGUCUGUACAAUGGGUAGCCAAGCCGCGAGGCGGAGCCAAUCCUGAAAGCAGGCCUCAGUUCAGAUUGCAGUCUGCAACUCGACUGCAUGAAGCCGGAGUUGCUAGUAACCGCAGGUCAGCAAUACUGCGGUGAAUACGUUCCCGGGUCUU
rnacentral:rRNA from 1 species